AAAUGUUGGUCCUUUUUUGUCUGGUUGUAAUGUAAUGACAGGACUGUUAACCCCUUAAGGACACAACUUCUGGAAUAAAAGGGAAUCAUGAUGGAAUAGUUCCGCCAUGUGUCUUUAAGGGGUUAAACAAUGAUUGCAACCAGUAGUCCGUUAUCUCUCAGUGCAAUGAUUGUUCAUGACUUCACUAGACUUGCGCAAUUUGUUUCAUUCCGAAUCGGAUUCAUAACUAAUUGAAGCAAAGCAUUUCAGAUCCAUUCAAGGAUAGCAAAUUGGGGAGUUAUCUACUGAACAACUGCAAAAGAAAAAGGGCUUUUCUUAAUUUUGAUCUUUCAGCUUUUUGGUGAGUAGGUCCAUCACUUGGUAUCCUUAAAUAUAGUAUUCCCACGUAAGGACAGCAAAUCAGGGAGUUAUCUACUAAACAGUUGAAAGAUCA